rnacentral:rRNA from 1 species
UACGUAGGGUGCGAGCGUUGUUCGGAAUUACUGGGCGUAAAGGGCUCGUAGGCGGCCAACUAAGUCAUACGUGAAAUCCCUCGGCUUAACCGGGGAACUGCGUCUGAUACUGGAUGGCUUGAGAUUGGGAGAGGGAUGCGGAAUUCCAGGUGUAGCGGUGAAAUGCGUAGAUAUCUGGAGGAACACCGGUGGCGAAGGCGGCAUCCUGGACCAAUUCUGACGCUGAGUGAGCGAAAGCCAGGGGAGCAAACGGGG